rnacentral:lncRNA from 1 species
GUAGUGAGAAGGCAUAGCUUUCCUGUUCUUCUCCCUGCUCUUUGCGUGGCUGGUUCCUUCUCAUCUUUCAGCUGUCAGCUUUGAUCUCACCUUCUCCAAGAGGACACGUAGGAUCCCUCCUUCUAAAUGUCAGAGCUGGUAUUAUCUACUUCCAGUCGUUUUCCAACUCUCUUUCUUGGACCUCAAGGGACCAUAGACGACAAAAUGGGAGCCCAAAGGACAGUGCUUCAGCCAUAAUGCCACCUAAUCAUCAACCAGAACAGCAACCUAAUAUAUGUGGAGAAGGAAGCUCUUUUCUGGGGAAACAGCAGGACUCAAAGCAGCUGGAAUCGAGGCCACACGGUACUUCCUGUCUGGUAGCGUUUUUAUUCAAAU